rnacentral:rRNA from 1 species
UGGGGAAUAUUGGACAAUGGGCGAAAGCCUGAUCCAGCCAUGCCGCGUGUGUGAAGAAGGUCUUCGGAUUGUAAAGCACUUUAAGUUGGGAGGAAGGGCAGUAAGCGAAUACCUUGCUGUUUUGACGUUACCGACAGAAUAAGCACCGGCUAACUCUGUGCCAGCAGCCGCGGUAAUACAGAGGGUGCAAUCGUUACUCGGAAUUACUGGGCGUAAAGCGCGCGUAGGUGGUUCGUUAAGUUGGAUGUGAAAGCCCCGGGCUCACCCUGGGAACUGCAUCCAAAACUGGCGAGCUAGAGUAGGGCAGAGGGUGGUGGAAUUUCCUGUGUAGCGGUGAAAUGCGUAGAUAUAGGAAGGAACACCAGUGGCGAAGGCGACCACCUGGGCUCAUACUGACACUGAGGUGCGAAAGCGUGGGGAGCAAACAGG